UGAAGGAUUAAGGUCAUCAUUCUCUACAUAUUCUAUUGCAUCCCUACAGCUUGAACAAAAUCCAAUUAUUUUUUUUCAUUAAUCUGUUUUUGUUCAAAAUAUUUCAGGCAAUGAAUACCCUCUAAGAUGUAAAGAACAUGAAGGUCCGAAUUAUGCUGGGACUCUAUGAGUUUUGAUCUGCCUAUCUAGGGAAAAUAUGCACCAGCUGGUGAAUCGACGACAUCAAUAUUUGUUCUCCAUCCACUAAUUCAUGGAGAUUCUAGGCGGAAGGUUGAAUUCAAGAGGUUAUACACUAUGAUGUUCAGAAAUUUAACACCUGGAGGACUUCAUUUUGAUCAAAACUUGGGGAAAAUGUUGAUGGACUAUCUACGGUCUUGAAUUAAGACAAUUUGAUGACAUUAGUUAGUUGAUUAAAACUGUGUACUUUUUCUGUAAUGUUGGAAUUAUGAAAUAAUGGAUUAGUGGUUGUUUUGUUUAUUGUGGAUUUUAAAUAGUACCUUUUAUAAUGAA